ACCGGUUACGCUACGGUUUAGUUCACAUCUGACACCUAACGGUUUUGAAACAUUACCAAAACCGUGUUUAUUUUUAAAAUAAAUAUCAAAAUUGAAAAAAUUCAUAGACGAAAAUGUUGUGAUGGCAGAGAUCUAAUCAUGUAAAGGGAGAUGACUGCGUAGGAGAUUACACCUGACUUUUAAUUUUUGCUUUGCAUGAUUGUCGCCCUUAGACUUUUUCACACCAUUUGUAACCAUUUGUAACCAGUGAAGCGGUGGCGUUUGCGUAUUUCUCAAAAUAUAGUUUCUUUUAUGCUCAGAAAGUGUCUAAAGGCUAAGUACAUGUAGAUGUCACUGUGAACAGUUUGCUGAUGACGAUUUUUUAUUUCCUGUUUGUCUGCAGAUGGUACUGAUCAGGAUGACAGUGGUCAUGUGACUACAUCAUGUGACAUGUGGAAUACCUUAUAUGAGAAAGUGGUCUUAGAAUUCAUUGAAAUGCACCUAGAUAAGGGAUCCAUUACAUCAAUUUCAUCACUGGUUCCCCAAGAUAUACUAGUCUAGCCAUACAAGAGACAAUACAGAGGCUGAGAGGCAACCCUGUCAGUUGUGUGGACUUAUUGUCUAUGCUAGGAACCAAAUUUUUCCAGUUGGUCAGUGAUCACUUGACUGAAUUAUUGGAACUUUUCCUGGACUGGCAAUGCUAUGGCUUGAGUGGAGCCCAUAUAAAUGGUUCAAUUAGGGAAUCAACAAUGGGUCAGCUUGUGGCAGGCAUGUCUACAUCAUAUAAUCCAGACUCCCUCAAGUUCAAAAAAUGUGAAACUGGAACAUUGAAAGAGGUGUUCAAGUUAUUCAGACAGAUUCAUGAUGUUAUAAAUAAUGAGAGUAAUACACAUGUAUAUGAGUUUGCAGAGGAGAAUGUGAAGUAUAUAGAGUUAAGAUGGAAUGACAACAAUAUCAUAUGUUGAGACUGUUUUACUAGCAAUAGAUGGCUGUGCAAAGGAAAAUUUAGACAUUAUUGUUAAAUUACUCCUGGCUGUUGACAGAAGACAGAGUCUUCAGGUGUCGACAUGGAUACUGUUCAACUGGAAGUGAAAUAUAGGGAGAAGAGCAAUGGUGUUAUAGUUGGUAUUGAUCUAAGUGGAGAUCCACAUGUUGGUAAUACAGAUAUUUUCAUUCCAGCAUUUAAGGAGGCACAGAAACAUGGUUUAAAGUUAGCACUUCAUCUUGCUUAAGGUUCCAGCACCAGAAGAAACUAUUACUUUGUUAAAAGAAAUUAUAUCAGAUAGAAUAAGACAUGGAACAUGUUUACAGCCUGAUGCUGGUGGGACGAAAGAUAUUGUAGAGUUUGUUGAAAGUCAUAGAAUUCCAUUAGAGUUAUGUUUAUCAUGAGACAUCAUAAAUAUGAUAUGACAGUACCAGGGUAUGAUAACCAUCACUUUAAAUUCUUGUAUGAUUUGGAACAUCCAUGUAUUAUAUGUACAGAUGAUAAAGGUGUGUUUUCUACCUCCAUUACUGAAGAGUACAGCAUAGCAGCAGAUACCUUCCAGUUACAUGGUGCGUAAUCGUUUCGGGCUGAUUUGGAAUAUCUCCCCGUUCCUGAACUGAUUUGGAUUUUUUUCACAGGUUAAUGAAUUUGUAGGAUUUACUUUUAUGACAACCUUGUAAAUUUUUUAGGCCACAGGAUUGAUUCAUAUUAAGGAAAAACAGGGCAAAGGACUGAUUGUAGGCUUACGUCCUACAAUUCAUUACCGGACAAAUCAUAUUAAAACCACUAAAUUAUUUCGGAAUGAUUUUUUCUAUAAUAUGAUCAUGGAAUACCUUAAAAAAUGAAGACAAUAAUGACUUUUUUGGCAAUCUUAUGCUAGUGUUUAAUACUACUUCGCUGACAGGCGAAAUUUGUUUUUAGAUUCCAACUGAUAAAAGACCGUUAACAUACCUUAUAAUUAUAGUUGUAUAUGAAUUCCUUAAACAUUGCAAUGUUCCGUGCAAGUAGAAUAUUUAAAAGACUAACAGUUGUAAAUAUGUUUAUUAUCCCCCGCCGCCUUUUCGGU